CCAGGAUUUAGAACAGUGCCUGUCACAUGAACAGCACCCGUUAAGUAUCCGUGGGCUCAACGACGCUAAUGGCAGAAACGUGUGCGGAGACUUGAUACAAAGGGAACAUAAAAACAACACAGUUACUGGAACUGGAGCAAAAUGAGCCCUGGAAUGAAGCCCAGUGAGGGAAGCCCCUCGGUGGCUGGCCUGAGGCUCCUCCCAUGGGUUGUCCCUGGCGCUGGGCACAGCCGUGUCCUGAGAGGAUCCCUCCUAUGGAUGGAGAUUGGACGCGCGCGUGUCUAAGCUGCAUGACUGCGAUUCUCCUCUGUACGUCUUCCUGAGUCCAAUUCACCUCUGGGGGUAGAGUGAGAACCCAUCCCGCUGCGGGUAGAAACCUCUGGGGGUACCUCUGGGGUACCUGAAACCUCUGAGGGUAGAGUGAGGACCCAUCCCGCUGCCAAAAUCUAUCAGCAACACUGCCUCGCCACCACCCAUCUAUUCCUACAGGACCCUUACUUCUGGGUGUAGGGCUCCUUGGCAAGAGACAGCUGUGAUCAUAAACAUUAAAGAACGUGGAGCCAGGGAAGGCUGCUGGCCUCCUCCCCUGGUGCGUCACCAGGCCAGCCUGUGGUGGGCUGAGGGCCUGCCGGCCAGCUUGCUGUUCCCAUGCAGGGCAGGUUGUGUCCAGGUCACAGCAACGAGCAUCCCGACCACAUACCUUGACAAGCACCGCAGCUCACUAGGAUGAUUACGCUCUCCAGAGGCCUCUUGGCUCAAGUCUGUGAAAUGCACUGUGGCCACCCUUGGCUGUGGAGGUGCCACCCCCUGACUCCUGCCUCCCCUGGCCCACACAACCAAGGAACAAUGACGGGAAAUCGAUGGCAAUUGUACAGCAUAUACAAUACGCCUGAGAGACUUCUGGAUUUGGGGAGCCGGCAUGAAGGCUCUGGUCCUCCUUCUGCCUCUGAUUUGCCUUGAGACCGAAGGAGCAUCACUGGCGAUCCCAGAGCUCAGUUUCUCCUCCGUAAAACGAGGCCGAGAGUGCCCGAUUUACCUCUCCCCACACUGUUAUAAAGAUUACUUGUGAACCUUAAUUCUUACGUUGAGCACUGAUCAGCAGUUAUGACCACGUGAGGGGAGAGAGGGCGCAAGGGGUCAAUGGGCUACCAUUUGCCGUUUCCUCCCGAGUAUAGACUAUUAUUAUCUAACGCUUUCAUCAUAAGAAUAAUACCUCCUCAUUACAGAGACUUUCAGAUUUAAAUUCCUGGGUAGAGCAAUUUAUAUCAAUGUCUUUAAAAAAAUUGCAUUGGCCACUGAUCCAAACCAACUUCCCUCCUGCGAACUCUACUUCCUUCCACCGUCCACACAAGCCUUCGUUCUAGUGUCAGAUAGUUGGUGCGAUAAGGUCAUUACACUAAUAUGUGGGUAUUAAAUAUGCUGUACCUCCUCCAGCUACCACAUGUGUAUCUUAAUAGAAUUAAAAAAAAAAAAAAAACAUCAUCCAAGGAACAGGACGAAUGGUGGACUUUCAGGCACAGUGAUCUCGUGAUUGGGAAUUCAAGGAAGGUGGUCCGCUGCAAGUGUCACAUCUUUAUUCCUCAAAGUAAAUUCAGUUUCAGGGGAAUCACGGCCAGAGAACUUCGCUGCCAUUCCUUCUGCCACUAGGCUCAGAGACUUGACGCUUCCCUUUCUCCGUGUACCUACCACAGCCCAGACGGGAACUAUUUUGGAAAGCCAGCGUCAGAGGACGACAAGCUUGGUUAUUCACGAGAAGGUGGAGAGAUCCAGCUUUCUCUGCGACCUUGGCUGAGUCACAUCACCUCCUUAUUCUUGUGAGAGAAGGGCCGGUAUUGCACUGGGCCGUCCAGAUCGAAACCCCAUGCCUGGGAUUCCAUGAGUCGUCCUGCUGUCUCCUGGCCAAGCUCCGAGUGCUCCUCCGAGGAACUGAGCUGAGAGAACAAUGCCCCAUGAUUGGCUCUGGUGCGUCCCCAAGGGCAGAGCAGCAGCACGGUUCUAGGGGCUGGAGGCAGAGAAGCGCCACAUCUCUAUUCUCGCGGCAUUUCCAGGAAAGAAAAUGGGGAAAACAGGCAGUAAAAAAUGAAGCAGCGUACUGUAUGUAUAUCAGGUGAUAAAAGCCAUAGGGAAACAUGGAGCAAAAUAAGGGUUGAAGGAACCCUCGUAGGAGUCGAUGGAGGGUCUGUAUUUUAAACAGGUGCAGCAGGGCGGUCUAACGCCGGAGUCCUCGGACACCAUGAAAAACACAGGCCUACUCCAAGUCCAAAUCUCCACAUGGAGGUUUCAUUUAAUACUCACACCAGUUAGGAUGGUUAUGGUUGUCACUACUCACACUUAACAGAUGGGAAGACUGAGGUUCAAAGAGAAAAAUCUGUCAGAAGUAUCCCAGUUACUAAGAAGCAGAGUCUGGCUUCAGAGUGUGCUCGUUUCCUUUCACAUCACAUUAAGGAAUGGGGAGAGCUGCGGGCAGGACGGCUGGCUUCAGAGCUGCGUCCCUGCAUCAUCCCUAAUGUCACUCCUUCCGUUUGCAAAGCCCCUUCUGGCCCUUUGUCUCCUCGGAGGCUCACCACCCUGGGGAGGAGGGUGCGGCCCCUGCUCUCCCCGUCCAUGACUCCUCCACCUCAGGCACUGACCCCCCCAGCCCUGCAGGGACCCACUAACCUCACCCAUGACUGGCCUGAUUAGGUACAUCCACCCCGGAAACAGGGAAUGGUCUCGCUGGCCCUCGGAUUCUUGGGACCCGUGUGCCCAGAUUGAGUGUGAGGCUUUCCCUAUCCCUGUUGGGUUACCCAGUAGAUACAACUGGCUGUUGGUCUGGGUUCCCUGAGCCCCAGCCUGCCUCAUCUACUUCCCGGGUGGCUCAGACCUUCCCCUGCACUCUCUGUUUCCAUCUGAGGAGCUUCUCCAAGCGGGUAGACCGCAUCUGCUGAGGAUAACGAUAGCAGCAAUGAUAAAAAUACUGUAAACACUUAGGACAGCGGUGGCCACAUAGCAAGGGCUCAGUAAAUAUGUGUUUAAUGAAUGACAAAGAGCUAUAACUAACUCUAAUAUGUGCGUACUAUGCUCCAGGCGCCACGUGGGAGCUUUCUCCUUGACUUCUCACAAGAGUCCCAGUUCACGUAAAAGUGAACCGAAACUUAGAAAGGCCAAGUUACUGGCUCAGGUUCACAGAGUUGGGAAACAAUCCAGCUUGUGUUUGACCCCAUGUCUGUCUGAUCCUAAAACCCAUGCCUUCCACCACCAUCCAUCAUCAGGAAACAAGACUCAAUGGUCAUAAUCGGCUCCCUCGUCAGCCUCGCCCAUCACCCAUGUCUAGAAGCCCCCGCGGCAUUACAGGAUAUGCUAGAUGAGGUCGUCUCGAAUAGUGUUGACUCAGAUCAAGAUGCACUUUCCCCACCACUUCAGCCACUAUUCAUCAGACUCUUGGGAAGCUCAUUGUGAGGCCGACCAUAGAGCCGAUGAGCUGCCUUUGGCCCUGAUCCCAUCAGAUUCUUCAGUCUUUAUCAAUCUAGCCGAUGUCUCAGCAUAGAUCACAGCUCAUCCCGUUGACGGUGGUUUCAGAGCAUGGCUGCAAACAUCUUUAAAACUCCAUCCAUGAGAGGUGGAGCCACGUGCCUUGCCCCUCUAAUCUGAGGAGGCCUACGGCUGCUUUGACCAGAUUGCAGGAAGUGGUGUUGCUGCGUGAUUUCUAAGGCGGGGUCAUAAAAGGCCACCUAGCUUCUACUGUUUCACUAGAACAUUCACUCUUGGAGCCCCUGUGCUGACAAGGAACAGUCCACAUACCCGGGAGCCACCCUGCUGUGAGGGCGCCUGGUCCACGGGGAGAGUUAAAUAUGGGUGAUCUGGUGAGCAGUAUCGGAACGAGACCAGCCUGUGAGUCACCCCAGCUCAGGGGCUAGACCAGCCUCUAGACUUCUUGAGUCUUCCCAGCUGAGGCUCCAGACCCUGUGAAGCAGAGACAAGCAUCCGCGUGUACCCUGCCCAACUUCCUUCCCCACAGAAUCCAGAAGCAUGGUACAAGGGUGGUUGUCUUCGGUUACUAAGUUGUGAGGUGGGGUGGUACCCAGCAACGGACAACGGGAACGCCGUCUACAUAGCCGGGGCCAGCUGAGGAGCUAAAGGCUAAGGGCACAGGAGUCACAUAGCACUGGGGUUGAAUUCUAGAUGAGGCCACCUUCCAGACCAGGCAAGUUAUUUCACGCCUUUGAACUUUACCCGUCUCAUCCCCCCAGUAGUAAUAACGAUGGUACUGCGGUCCAAGAGCUAUUGCACGGUUAAGCGAGAGGAUGUGGGGGGACCUUCACUGGCUCUGGCCAUUGUCAUGGGACGUCUCAGCGAGUGCAGUUAUUACGCUAACACCUUGCAGAGGAGGAAUCCAAACUCCGAGAAGUGAAAUGACUCCCCCAAGGUGACACGACUGACCGGGCCUCUAAACUUCAUUGCUAGCGCUUCAGAGCCUCGGCGCCAGGGACAUGAUGCUAGAGGCUCAGAAUAUGACAGUGGAAGGAGGCGAUGUAUUCUGUUCAACUCCCAACAUUUUACAGAUAAGAAAACCUUGGAGGUCCAAGGACCUUGGAUGGAUGUGGACAAGGGCAGCUCCUAAAACCAACAAUCCACUUGCAUGAACUGGCUUUAGAGAGAUUCCUUAAGUAGCCCAACCACAUACGCCCGGGGUCUCUGCAGCACAGGUGGCGUCUCUCUUGUACGGAUGAGCAAACCGAGGCUGAGAAGAUGAGCAUCUCACUGGAGCUCACGCAGGAAGUUGGCCUGAGAGCUCAGCUUACAGCCUGGUCAGCGGAGCCUGGGUUUUAUCUUCCUGAGCAAGAGACUAACUCACUACUUUACUGCCCAGAAAUUCACAGGUCAGGAGUGUCUUUCCUCUGUAAUAACUGGAUGUGUCAGUUAUCACAGAGUUAGAGACGCGUGUGCCCGUGGAGGCUGGGAAAACAGGAAAAGGUGUGAUAAUUAAAUAGAAAAGAUGAAUUCUUUUAUUAGAAACGAUCACUUCUCCUACAAGAAGAAACCGAUGUCCCAAAGGGUAGAGCAACUUUCUGGUUAAUGGAAGGGAUAAAGCUGUAUAAAGAAAGGGACAAGAGCUUGGGAUAUCAGUGGACGCACAUGGCCCUGCCAGGCUAGAUGUCUACCAGUCGAGCGUCCUCACUUAGAUUACCUUGGUUUCCUCGUGUAGAAGUUAGGAGUAAACAUUACCUUGCCAUAUGCUUGCCUUAAGGAUUAAACACACAACAGCUAGCAUGUAGGAGGACUUCCAUGCUUUUCUUCCUAAAAGGAAGACCCAAGACUCAAAAUAGUGUUCUUUAAUCCCAGCUUCUUUGGAAAAUUGAGAUUUCUUUUUUUAUUAUUUUUAUUUUUUUUAAGGUUGUAUUUAUU